GUCAUCACAUUCCUGCUGAUCAAGUAGCCUGAUCAGUCCUACCUGUUUUGUGUUCCUUGUUUUUAUCCUUAAAAAUUAUGAUUCCUCUUGAUUCUUUUGUUGGCCAGAGUGCUGAUGGCAAAAUGGUUCCUAUAAUCCCUGGUGGAAAUAGUAUCCCACUCACAUUUUCCAACAGGAAGGAAUAUGUGGAGAGGGCCAUUGAAUAUCGACUUCAUGA
rnacentral:lncRNA from 1 species